rnacentral:tRNA from 1 species
AUUUAUAUAGUUUAAUAAAAACAUUACAUUUUCAUUGUAAAAUCAAAAUACAAUUUUUAUAAAUAU